rnacentral:lncRNA from 1 species
UAUAGAAGACUGCAUCAACUCUAACGGUAGGAAGCUAAUCAGACAUAAAAGGAAAAGACAAUGAGCCUAACAGAACAUAGAUAGAAACAAUAUAGUCUAACAGAAAAGCAAGUGGUCCAUGCAGAAUGACAGAGAGACAAGGAGGCUGAAAUAACGCAUUGACAUGGACAAGAGACAUGCAAGCUGACAACGUUAAUACUCCCCCGCAAGCUGAGCAGAGGAUGGAGUGAAUGCUCCAAGCUUGUGUAGAAGGUGAUGAUGUUGUUUAAGUGACAACGGUUUGGUAAGGAGAUCAGCAACUUGCUCUGAAGAGGGAACAUGAG